CGGCAAGCUGACUCUCUUGCUAAGUGUCCCAUAUCUGAUAUCAUCACAGAGUUCUGACCAUAACUCCUCAAAGGCAGACAGUGCUUGGACAAUGCUAUAUGCAAAGGUGGAGGUGACAAACUCGACCUGUUCAGCAAGGAGGAGGCCGAGGAGGAGGUGACAGUAGGUGGUCUGCUGGUAGUCACCGCUAGAAAUGACCUCAUAGGGACUG
rnacentral:misc_RNA from 1 species